rnacentral:rRNA from 1 species
UCUCGCCGCCCGUCGCGAGGCGGACGGAGGGAUGGGAUGAGGUUACCUGGAAAAAAUCGGGGCGAUCUAGGCGGGCGAACCUCGCCAACGAACGAUCGGACAUGGGAUAACGGAAGAGGGCGUCGGCUCGACUUCGUCGGUUCCUCGGGGCCGAGGCACGUACGGUGAAUAGGGACGGUCGGGGCCGCCCGUACCGGGGUCGUGAGAGGUGAAAUUCUAGGAUCGACCCGAGACGAACUGCCGCGAAAGCAUUCGGCAAGGACGCUUUCAUUAAUCAAGAACGAAAGUCGGGGGAUCGAAGACGAUCAGAUACCGUCGUAGUCCCGACCGUAAACGAUGCCGACCGAGGGCCCGGAGGAGUUACGUACGACCCCUCCGGGCCCUCCCGCGAGAAAUCAGGAGUAUUCGGGUUCCGGGGG